GACGAACGCUGGCGGCGUGCUUAACACAUGCAAGUCGAACGGAAAGGCCUGCUUUCCCUUGUGGAUUGCGGGUACUCGAGUGGCGAACGGGUGAGUAACACGUGAGUGAUCUGCCCCCAACUUGGGUAUAAGCCUGGGAUACUGGGUCUAAUUCCCGAUAGGACUGCAGGGUGGUGCCUGUGGUGGAAAACGAUUUUCUAGUGGUUGGGGAUGAGCUCGCGGCCUAUCAGCUUGUUGGUGGGGUAAUGGCCUACCAAGGCGGCGACGGGUAGCCGGCCUGAGAGGGUGGACGGCCACAUUGGGACUGGGAUACGGCCCAGACUCCUACGGGAGGCAGCAGUGGGGAGUAUUGCACAAUGGGCGGAAGCCUGAUGCAGCGACGCCGCGUGGGGGAUGACGGCCUUCGGGUUGUAAUCUCCUUUCGACCGCGAGGAAGCCACCUGGUUGGAAGGGUGGUGACGGUAGUGGUAGAAGAAGCACCGGCUAACUACGUG
rnacentral:rRNA from 1 species